GACGAACGCUGGCGGCGUGCUUAACACAUGCAAGUCGAGCGGUAACAGGUGUAGCAAUACAUGCUGACGAGCGGCGAACGGGUGAGUAAUGCUUCGGAAUCUGCCCAGUAGUGGGGAAUAACCAGCCGAAAGGUUGGCUAAUACCGCAUACGAACUACGGUUGAAAGCGGGGGAUCGCAAGACCUCGCGCUAUUGGAUGAGCCGAAGUCGGAUUAGCUAGUUGGUAGGGUAACGGCCUACCAAGGCGACAAUCCGUAGCUGGUCUGAGAGGACGACCAGCCACACUGGGACUGAGACACGGCCCAGACUCCUACGGGAGGCAGCAGUGGGGAAUAUUGGACAAUGGGGGCAACCCUGAUCCAGCGACGCCGCGUGUGUGAAGAAGGCCUGCGGGUUGUAAAGCACUUUUAGUGGGGAUGAAAAGCGCGAGGCUAACACCGUCGCGUCUUGACCUAACCCAAAGAAAAAGCACCGGCUAACUCUGUGCCAGCCGCCGCCGUAA
rnacentral:rRNA from 1 species